UAUUGAUUUGAACAAUCGACAGACAAAAGUCAGCUUCUAUUAAGCCAGAAAGAAUAAACACUAGGAUUAUUAAGAUGGAUGCAUUUCAGAAAAUGUUUCCUGAGGACAGUAAAGAUUACCCCUGGGAUGAGAAUGCUCUUGAAGAUUUAAAAAAACUUAUAAUUGAACAUAAAAUUAAAUGCAAAAUGGACGACUUGUUUCUUCUUGGAUUUCUUCGUGCCAUGAAAUUUAAUGUUGAAGGUUCACUUCAAUUACUUAGGAAUUAUUAUUCUACAAAACUAGAAUAUCCGGCGUAUUUUAAAAAUUUACUUCCAUCAAAGUUAGAAAAAGCUUUAUCUACAAAUUGUAUGAGAGUUUUACCCCAGCCUGAUCAAAGUGGGCGAUAUAUUUUUAUAGGACA